ACUCAGGUUGCAGUGAGAUCCAGGGAGAGCCAGAAGUGAGGCGCCCAGAGAAGUGUUCACUUGUGGCUCGAAGUCCAGGUGUGAUACUGCAUGAAAACCCCCCGAUUUGGCCAUCCAGAGCAUGGUAAUCAAGAAACGCCUAGAUGUUUCCAAAAAUGGAUUGGGUGUCCCUCCAAGUGUUCAUGAAAAGGUUGAAUUUCCUCUUGGUGGGGAGUUACAGAGGAGAUUAGCAGAUCAGGCUGAAUUAGGGCCUCACUGUGUUACCCAGGCUGGAGUGCAGUGGUGCAAUCACAGCUCACUGCAGCCUCGACUUCGCAGGCUUAAGCACAUCUCCCACCUCAGUUUCCCAAGUAUCUGGGACCACAGGGACAUGGAUGAAGCUGGAAACCAUCAUCCUCAGCAAACUAACACAGGAACAGAAAACCAAACACCGCAUGUUCUCACUCGUAAGUGGGAGUUGAACAAUGAGAACACAUGGACACAGGGAGGGGAACAUCACACACCGGGGCCUGUCAGGGAGUGGGGGGCUAGGGGAGGGAG
rnacentral:lncRNA from 1 species